rnacentral:rRNA from 1 species
UACGUAGGUCCCGAGCGUUGUCCGGAUUUAUUGGGCGUAAAGCGAGCGCAGGUGGUUUAUUAAGUCUGGUGUAAAAGGCAGUGGCUCAGCCAUUGUAUGCAUUGGAAACUGGUAGACUUGAGUGCAGGAGAGGAGAGUGGAAUUCCAUGUGUAGCGGUGAAAUGCGUAGAUAUAUGGAGGAACACCGGUGGCGAAAGCGGCUCUCUGGCCUAUAACUGACACUGAGGCUCGAAAGCGUGGGGAGCAAACAGG